ensembl:snRNA U6 U6 spliceosomal RNA
GCGCUUGCUUCAGCAGGAUGGGUACUAAAAUUGGAAUGAUAUAGAGAAGAUAAAGCAUGGCCUGCACAAAAAUGACACACAAAUCCAUAAAAUAUUCCAUAUUUUU